AGUUGAGUAAGGCGGCGAGUCGGGAACACUAGCUGAGUGGCGAUGGCGGCGUAUACCGACGCUCUGGAUCACACCUCCAUAUAUCGUCGCGCCGCUUGUGAUAGUGAGGAAAGUGACGGAGAGGGUGGUUUGGGUAAUUUGAGCAGACUGAUCGUUCGGCCUCCUGGCCAGAGUGGGAAAGCCAAACGAGGACAGUUGUGCUUUGACGCGGCUUUCGAGUGCGGGAACCUGGGCCGAGCAGACCACAUCACUGACAUUGAAUACGACCUGUAUGUCAGACCCGACACUUGCAGACCAAGGGCGCGAUUUUGGUUCAACUUUACAAUCGAAAAUGUUAAGCAGGACCAGAGAGUGAUACUAAAUAUUAUUAAUUUGGCCAAAGAAACCACACUGUUCGAUGGAGAUAUGACUCCCCUUGUGCGUUCCACCUCAAGACCGAAAUGGCAACGGAUUCCCAGGCGCCUGGUAUUCUACCACCGCUCGGUGCCUCAUAGGGGGCGGAAAAUCUUGAGCAUAGCGUUCGCUUUUGAUCGAGAAGAGGACGUUUAUCAGUUCUCUGCAGGAGCGUCCUACUCAUACUCGAGACUUCAGAAGCACCUCGCGACGUGGGAGAAGAGAGCCCAGGCCUUUGCCACCAGGCAGUCUAUUGCUCAGACUACUCAAAAACGUCGAAUAGACCUAGUAACGAUUGGAGACUAUAAAACGAAAAAAGAUAAAGAGGAGACUAAAGAAGAGCCUCCGAUGACUAAACCAGCGAUAAAGCCUGCAGAGCAGAAGAAAAGAGUCGUCCUCAUCAUCGCCAGAACACAUGGAGGUGAACCGCCGUCAUCAUUUGUUUGUCAAGGGUUCCUAGACUACUUGCUGGGAUCAUCGGAAAAGGCGGUGGCUUUGAGAAAUAACAUCGUGCUGGAGGUCAUCCCGAUGCUGAACCCAGACGGGGUGUUCCUCGGCAACCAACGGUCAGACUUACUCGGCGGCGACCUCAAUCGAUGUUGGAAUCGAGCCACCAGCUACGCGCACCCCGCCCUAGUGGCCGUUAACGAUCUCCUCAAGAAACUUGCCUCGGAGAAGACCGUGCAGUUAGAUUUCAUCAUCGACAUUCACGCUGACAUAAGCCACGAGGGUGUAUUUGUUCGAGGGAACUCCUACGACGACGUGUACAGGUUUGAACGUCAGGCAGUUCUCCCGAAGUUCCUGGGUGCCCGAAUUGAAGCAUGGAGGCCAGAAGCUUGUUUCUACAACGCGGACUCAUUGCUAGCUGGCACAGCUCGGAGAGCCCUGCCGGCGGGGUUAAUCGACGCCUACACUUUAUUAGUUUCCCUAGGAGGACGAAGAUUAUCUCCCAGGGGACCUUAUAUACAUUAUACUGAAGAUGUCACCCAGCUCAUCUCCAGAGCGGCGAGUUCUAGCUGGUCGAGUGUUAUCACCACCCCUGCCCAAGGUAUCUCCGCCAGCGAUGCAAGCGCUGCCAGGGAGGCUCUCCCGUCGCCACAUGCUUAAGUCGCGCCCUAAAACCAUGCCAGAUGUGGACCUUAUGCUACCCGUAAUAACAGGUAAAGCUGUGAAAACUCCCCGGCUCGCUGUGGUAGACAUGAGCGCAUAUAUUCGGACACCGAAGAGCUUUGUCAAUCAGCGAAUUGAGA
rnacentral:misc_RNA from 1 species